rnacentral:rRNA from 1 species
UGGGGGAUAUUGCACAAUGGGGGGAACCCUGAUGCAGCAACGCCGCGUGAGGGAAGAAGGUUUUCGGAUUGUAAACCUCUGUCCUUAGUGAAGAUAAUGACGGUAGCUAAGGAGGAAGCUCCGGCUAACUACGUGCCAGCAGCCGCGGUAAUACGUAGGGAGCGAGCGUUGUCCGGAAUUACUGGGUGUAAAGGGUGCGUAGGCGGCAAUACAAGUCAGAUGUGAAAUGCAUAGGCUUAACCUAUGAACUGCAUUAGAAACUGUGUUGCUUGAGUGAAGUAGAGGCAGGCGGAAUUCCCUGUGUAGCGGUGAAAUGCGUAGAGAUAGGGAGGAACACCAGUGGCGAAGGCGGCCUGCUGGGCUUUAACUGACGCUGAGGCACGAAAGCAUGGGUAGCAAACAGG